rnacentral:lncRNA from 14 species
AUCAUGAAGGCCCCAGCAGAGACGCACAGGAAAGUAACAUCACCUCAAAUGAGUGUCUGACCUCAAAGUUAUUUUUCAGAACUUAUAGGAUCAACAAGGCACCUGGUAUACCGAAAGAGCCCUGGUACUCAACUACAUCGGCUUCUCACUGCAUGGAUAACAUAGGGCCAGCCUGGUCUGUCCCACAAUAACACGGUUUCACCGUCAUUGUUGCAAUGAAGUUAUCAAUUUCCCAUAAGACUUCUUUGGAAAACUCUAUUUACGGAGAAGGAUUAAUAAUCAAAUGACAUAAUGGAGACUCAUCCCGACCAGCAAGUUAGGAGAAGACGGCUUAACAAGAGCAUCUGAUGUUCCCAAGUUCAUUGGAGACGAGGCAGAGGAAAUACGCGCAGAGGGAAGGCUAAUGGCCCAGAAGGAAUGCCGUGUCACGGACAAGGCCAUUAGCUCAACGGUGUUCACCUGCCCGUCCCACAGCUGUGCAAUUACUUAUGGGAGAAAUAAAAAUGGCG